AUUUCCAACACGAUAGCAAAGAACAAUUUCCAAGCAAAUUCCAAUCCAGUACAAAACAAAUACAAUACAGUACCGAUAUCAUAUUUUCGAGUCAUGUCUGUAUUUGUGUGUCAAACAUAUCUGCACCUUGUAGAUGUUCUCCAUGAAUGAGACGUAUUCUCUGCAUCUUUCUAGAAACCCACAUGAAGAAAUCAAAUAGAAAACAACACUUGCAAUAUGCUGUGAGUAAGCGGUUAUAAUGCUUAGCAUUUCUAUUCCACCAUAUUUACUAAAAUACAUGGAGAACUGAAUAAGUUGAAAGUACUCAGCUAUUGAUGUCAAGAAAAUAGCAAAUCCUGAGCGGAUAAAGUGCCAGAUUUUCUGAUUUUUAUCAUUGAAGGGUUUCCCGAUCAAACUAUUAUAAGUUUCAAUCGUGGUAAUACCAGAUGCGAAACAGACAUUGUGAUAUAUUCUUUGCAUUAAUUCCAUCACGAACUGUGAAGUCCGUUAAAUUUAAAAAUCUCAAAAUGGUUAUUGCAGAAUGUUCUUGAGAUGUGAUGAUCCGCUAUCUAUAACUGUAGAAGCAGUGAACUGAGUACAAUAUUGACUUUCUUCCAUGCCGGUAUUUUUUGCAAUUAUUCUAAUCUUGAAAUCUCGAAAUUUCACCUUUAGAGAUAAGUGAUUGAAAAAAUAAGCAAUCUUUACUAUCUAGUGAAGCAAAUGUAGGCUGGACUGUUUUAAGGAAAACAUUCCAUCAUUAUUCAACCUGUUUGUUUCACAAAUACCUUUAUAGAGUUUUCGAAACAAAUUAAAUUUCGUGAAUUGCUUCAGAAAUUUUCAAUCUGCAUUAGUCCAAUCCACAUGAUAUGAAAACAAAUACUUGAUACCACAACGAAAUGAUAAUAAUUUUUCUUGUUAUAUCAAUUCACGGUACAAAAGUUUUAGUUGAUGAACCCACAGUGUUAAUAAUAUAUCAGACAUUGAAAAGCAAAAACGAUUCGAUAUGUCCUUGAGGAUUAUGUUAUUUCUUAUCAUAAAACUCUGGAAAGGUAAUUAACUCUAAUGAUAGUACAUAAGUUCAAUAAUUCAGUGAUUUAUAAUAUCCUAAAUUUUAUGAGUUUAUGAAUUGUCAAUAUUCUAUCUAAUGAAUUCUCAAAACAAUAAGAUCUAAAUUACUUUGUGUGAAUGUACGAUAUUAAAUGGGAAAACAAUAUUUUCUAUCGGAACCGAAUACAUAUAAGUGUAUUUUGAAAAACUGAACUUGAGAUACAUGCUGCAAAUUAACAUUGAAUAAAAUGUAACAAUAUUACAUUAGUUGAGCUAUAUUAGUGGGACUGAAAUGUGAUUGAUGAAUUUGUUGGUCUGAACAGAGCUCACUCUUCGCGCUCACCUACUGUACAAAUAAUCGUGAAUAGCACAUAUGUUUAAUCCAUAAAUUUCAAAGGAUGUCAUUGAUUUUCGAGCUGGUUAUAAGACAAAUAUCUUUUAUUAUGAGUCAAACAGAUAAUACAAACAUCAAAAAAUAAACUAACUAUAUUUUCAAGAAAUAAGACAUUCCCAAUGAGACAUUCUACUAACAUGGCACAUUUUGGAACGAUUGUUUUUUCCAAUCAAUCUAAUCUAAAGUUCUAUUGUCAAGACGAUUCUCUUUUGUAUUCUAAAUAAAUAAUUGAAUAAAAAAACCAAUCCUAGUAAUGUCUAAUUUUUUUUGUAGAUCAACAUGAUUUGGUAAUUUACAAUGAAGAUUGCUGGGUUUAUUUAGAGUUUUCCAUAUAUGAUGAAAGUUUUGAACUCUCAGAAGCAAUCUGACUUCCACAGUAUUGUGGAUAAAUAUUGGCAUUUGGAUAAAAAUUCUAAGUAAAUUUAUGAUACCGUAUGUCCAAUAUGACUUGAUGAAUGAAUCGGGAAAUCAUGUUCAAUCUACUUCAAUAGCUGAGCCGAUUUUCCCCUAUUUAUAUUGGUGUACAAAUAAUAUUUAUUUUCCUUUUCUGUGAAAUGGAAUGAUACCUACACAACGUGCUGAUUGGUAGAUAUUGACGAAGAUUGGCAUUUCCAUUGAUUUUUGUAGUAACUUACAAUCCCAUAGCAAUGAAGUACUUGAAUUUCGUCUCUGAUCAGGUUUGCUGAGACAUUUAGCGAAAGUUCCAACUAUUCCAACUUUUUCUUGUAGAAGUUCUAUCAAUUGAUUGAAUUUUGAAAUAAUUUAAAUCUUUAAUUAAUAUAGAUAGUUGAUUUUUGUAUGAAAUUGAAUAACUUUUAUCCAUUAUUGUUAAUCUUAACCUUAAAUAAUCAAUAAUUAUUAUAAACAAUCAUAUAUUUUAUUCAGUAUUAAAUUUUGAAAUUUUCAGAAAUAUUUUUUUCUAUUGAGUACUGUAUGAUCAGCUCUCUCUACAGAACAAACAUUAACUGAAAUAUUUAUCCUUUUGGAAAACAGCUACCGUAUUGAAACUAUUGAAAACUUACAUCUUCAUGUCAGUAUUGUCAGUCAUUGCACCAAUAAUUUAUUAUCUAUGCAGUUUGAGUGGUGUGAUUACAAGGCGCGAUGACGAUGUUCUUGGGGAGAAAGAGCCAAGCCUCUGUUACCAAGUGACCAGAUUUUUUUUCUGCUUAACUUUCAAUUUACUUAUUUUAAUUAUUACUGAAUUCAUAGUUUACCUAAACUUCUACAUAUCUUUUAGAGAAAAUACCACUGAUGUAAAAAAUGUGAAUAUGAUGUAUUUUAUGAGCGAUGCAUUUUUACAUAAUUCAAAAAUAGUAUUCAUCGUAAUUUCAUCGCUGACAUCUUUUUGGCGAUGGCGAGAAUACUACAGUCUAAUUAACAAACUCGCAGUCAUCAGAUCAAGUUUGAUGUUCACAACUAAGUACAGAGGCAAAGUUUUCUUUUUCCUAAUGUAUGUAUUUGUAUUAUUAACGUUUUUCUGUAGUAGAAUGAGAGUGGGGUACUUGAGUACAAUAAUAACAAAUUGUUUAGUAAUACCCAACAUAAUUAUACAAAUAACUUUGAUCCAAUUCAUUUACACCUUCUACGAAAUAAACAUGAUCCUCAUGAAUGCUCUAAUGAAGAUUAAUAUGAACCUUGAAGAAAUUCAUGCUAAAAUCAAGAAUGACAACUUGAAUGAUAUCAAUCUCCUUGUAGAUGGACAGUGUGAUCUACAACUAGUUGACUCUCUGAGGAACUUGAGUGAAGAGCUUCGAUCAGCAAUGGAGUUGACCAACCACAUUUUUGGACUACAAAUACUAGCCGCUACCUUCGACUUAUUCCUUAACAUUGUCAUCACUCCCUAUUUCUUAUACAUAGAUAUAAAAACAACUUCGAGCUCUGGUCAUGUAUUUAUGAUGACGAAAGAGGGAAAAGUAUUUUGGACCAUAGCAAAUAUAUUGAAGCUUGUUUUCUUGUUUCUUCCAUGCGCUUCUACCACUGAUGAGGCUGCUAAAUGAGGAUCUGCAGCCAGGCAUGAAGAAAGAGCUGAAAACCUUCUUGUUGCAAUUACUGUCAUCUCAUAAGAUAAUGGGCUUCUCUGCUAGUGGAAUGUUUGAAUUGAAUCUGUCAUCUAUCAUUUCCGUUGCUGGAGCUGUAACUACAUACCUGGUUGUUCUAAUUCAAUUUCAAAGUGCUUGAAUGACCGAGUGCUCUCUAGUCUCUACGAUGGUUGCUGCUUCAACCAACUAAAUUUAAAAUCAGCCACGAGAGAGUAGCCAGGAAAACAGUCAGCAAUAUAGUCUCAUUUUUGAUG